CCUGAGGAAGGAGGGGAUGCUGGAGGGAGGAGCGUCCUGGGCUCCGGGAGGGGUUGCCAGCCAGGUCCUCAGCAGGGGGACGGCAGGGACGAGCCGGCCAGCAGGAAGGACUUCCCCAGCGGCUCAAAGAGAGGAGCCUCUGCCCCAGUCGGCACUGGGGAGGGGGAGUCGAUGGGUCAAGCCCCUCACCCGAGGGACCUGGUGGAUGCGAAGGAGUUGGGGCAGCUUGAGACUGAGCAUGGUGACCCGGCACCUCCACGCUGACCUGGAGACAAAGUGCGGGGUGAGGGGGGAUCAGGUCUCCGCAUCCGCAGGCCCCUCUCACCCAGAUCCAGGCCGGGCCUGGUCACCGGGCCCCGGGGUGGGCUGUGGGCACCUACGUGCGUGCGGGCGGGAGCCGGCCACUGAGCUGCUUCCCGCAGGCCGGGGAGGGGGGGGUGGCCCCGCUUCCCCGACUCUCCAUCCCAGCCGGGAGCACUCGGUUCCCCAGAGGGGCUGCUCAGCCUCAGCCCAGGACAGAGCGAGCGCAGGAUCCUCCCCAUUUGGAAGGCUGCCUCGCCAGCCCCUCCAGCUCGACCCAAGCCCACUGAGACCAGAGCGGCCACAACCGGCUGGAGCCCCAGCCGAGACCCCGCCGGGGCGACACGAUCUUCUCAGACCAGGCUGCACCGGGUGCCAGGUCCUCCCAGGAGCGGGUGGCUCUGCCUGAGGCCAGGCACCGGAACCCCACUCCUGACUUGUGACUUCAGAGAGCACCUCUCGGCGGCCAGGGCCGGGCAGAGACCAGAGCAAAGGCCUUUACCGAACGCUGGUUCAAGCACAAGGGAACUGCCCGCCGUGUUCACUCCCCAGACACACGUUGACAGUGCCUGUCCCUGCAGAGGGUCGGGGACCGAGGGCCCGGAGGCUGCUCUCCAGGCUCACCGCCACGUCCCCCUUGAGGAAGAGCAUGUGUCUUAGAAGGGCCAGCAGGAGCAGCGAAUUGCCCGGGGAGGGGGGGGGCUCACUGGUUUCCACGCAGCCAGCACCCCAGCAAAGGCGCCAGCUCAGCUCACGGGGCCAACGAACCGGACGGCGUCCUUCACAAGAGCAUCUCCGGAGCUUUCUCCUGAGUUGCCGGCAUCUUGAAAAGCCGCUUCAGCAAGAAACCUCCAACAGCCC